AUUGAACGCUGGCGGCAGGCCUAACACAUGCAAGUCGAGCGAGCGGCGGACGGGUGAGUAAUGUAUGGGGACUGCCCGAUAGAGGGGGAUACCUACUGGAAACGGUGGCUAAUACCACAUCCGAUCGGAUAACCCAUAUGUGAUUAGCUAGUAGGUAAGAUAAUGGCUUACCUAGGCGACGAUCCCUAGCUGGUCUGAGAGGAUGAUAAGCCAAACUGGGACGGAGACACCGCCCAGACUCCUACGGAGGCAGCAGUGGUGAAUAUUGCACAAGGAGCGCAAGCCUGAUGCAGCCAUGCCGCGUGUAUGAAGAAGGCCCUAGGGUUGUAAAGUACUUUCAGUCGGGAGGCGUUACCGACAGAAGAAGCACCGGCUAACUCCGUGCCAGCAGCCGCGGUAAUUC
rnacentral:rRNA from 1 species